GUAUUAGUUACAAUGAAGCCCAGCUCCCGUAUUAUAUCAAACAAAAUUAUUUCUCUUCUACGAGAUGGUCCUUCAACGCGUAAAGUAGCUAAAACGUGUGCUUUUUAAAAAAAUCUACAAAAACAUAGACGAGUUUUCGCUCAUGGACUGCCACCUG